UCAAAAUAUUACUUCAUAAUGAGCAUAAAACACAGCUUAAAGCACAUAUUAUGGGUCCAGAAGAGCACAUCUUUCAGUCUUCAAGAAGUAUUUAAACUACUCUGGCAGAUGAAGAUUUGGAUUUGGCUUGCUUGAUGCUGGACGAUUAAUGAAGGAAGCCCUAACUGGACAAAUGUUGGUCUCCUGAGACAAUGUGUUGUUGAUAACAGAAAAGGAUUGACAAUAAGAUGUGGAUGUUCAUCUUUAAUGAACUCUAGUCACCAAGUGGAAGCCAGCUAAGUUUGAUGAUGCAAUUGACCACCUUCUCAGCAACAGCUGAAUGUUUGCUCCUCAAAAGAGUAAGAGCAAGCCUGUUAACUGCAAAUGUGAAGAGAUGAAGCAAGCAAAAAAGAAAAAGUGUGAAGAGUUUGCUGCCACAUCAUCCCUGUAUCAGAUAGUUUUGGGAUCAAUGAAUGAACAGUUUUACAAAACUGCACAUAAAUAAAAAGAAUGGACCUUCCCUGUGAAACGUGAGCACAGAAACGCUCACAAGUGGCCAAGAGCUGCUAAAUAAUUAAUCAAUAGAGCAGUGUGGCAGUUUGAAAUGUAAAUGUGAUGGAUGAAGGUGUGAUGCUUGUCAUCAAGCAGAAAAUGAUGUGACUGGAAUGGAUAACCCACAGUACCUGCUAACUGGCAAGAGCUUGGACGCAAAGAUAAAGUAAAGCCAUCAGAAAGCAGACCUGGCAACCCCUAAUUCUUGCCUUUGACCCACAAUUCACUUUCAUGUCUCUGUCCCAGAAGAGAUGUUUAAAAAAAUGAUGAAGAGAGAUCUUGAGGUGGGAAAGGGGUGAGAAAAAAACCAUCUGAAGAAAUGCUACCUGACAAGGCUGCAGGCUACGUUCUUGAGAACACCUUUCUUUUCUUUAUGUUCUCCUUCUCCCGUUAAAUAAAAAUGCGGCUCCUUUUUUCCCUUCCCUUUCUUCCGAAACUCUCCCGAGCCGUUCCUGCAAGUGGUUCUGUGACUCGGGAGCUGACAACAGCCGCAUGCAAAGGAACAAAGAAUGAGAGUGACAAUUCAGAGUGCACGCAGGACCUCUACAGUUGUGAAGCAGCCUGCAGAAGCAGUAGAUCUCCAGGUGAACUGGCC